rnacentral:rRNA from 1 species
UACGAAGGGGGCUAGCGUUACUCGGAUUGACUGGGCGUAAAGGGCGCGUAGGCGGUUCGUACAGUCAGACGUGAAAUUCCUGGGCUCAACCUGGGGGCUGCGUUUGAUACGUGCGGGCUUGAGUUCGGAAGAGGGUCGUGGAAUUCCCAGUGUAGAGGUGAAAUUCGUAGAUAUUGGGAAGAACACCGGUGGCGAAGGCGGCGACCUGGUCCGAUACCGACGCUGAGGCGCGAAAGCGUGGGGAGCAAACAGG